rnacentral:tRNA from 1 species
CACAAGCUGGCAGAUUGAAUGCGUACGAUUUAAGCUCGUUUUAUAAGAUUUAUUCUUGUUUGUGU